rnacentral:rRNA from 1 species
GCUGGCGGCGUGCCUAACACAUGCAAGUCGAACGAGAAAGUGGAGCAAUCCAUGAGUAAAGUGGCGACCGGGUGAGUAACACGUGACUAACCUACCCUGAAGUGGGGAAUAACCUCGGGAAACCGGGGCUAAUACCGCAUAACAUCGCGAGGGGCAGAUCCUAGUGAUCAAAGGAGCAAUUCGCUUUAGGAGGGGGUCGCGGCUGAUUAGCUAGUUGGUGAGGUAACGGCUCACCAAGGCAAAGAUCAGUAUCCGGCCUGAGAGGGCGCACGGACACACUGGAACUGAAACACGGUCCAGACUCCUACGGGAGGCAGCAGUGGGGAAUUUUGCGCAAUGGGGGAAACCCUGACGCAGCAACGCCGCGUGGAGGAUGAAGUCCCUUGGGAUGUAAACUCCUUUCGAUCGGGACGAUUAUGACGGUACCGGAAGAAGAAGCACCGGCUAACUCUGUGCCAGCAGCCGCGGUAAUACAGAGGGUGCAAGCGUUGUUCGGAAUUAUUGGGCGUAAAGGGCGCGUANGCGGUGCGGUAAGUCCGCAGUGAAAUCUCUGGGCUCAACUCA